UGCAAAAGGCGCUUUGAAGAAACCUCUGCAGUACCCAUGAGGGAAACCGAUGUCAGAGCCAUCAUUUUUAGCUUCCUACCUUGCUGCAGCAGUUCCUUGAAUCACUUCAGAACGAAACUCCAGUGGUCAGAAGGGCAACAUUUGUCUCGUGCUUUUCCUCAUGCCAGCAACAAACUGCCCAGCCCAUGGAGUUCAUUUUUGGUCACUCACAGUGGGAAAGGGAGCAGAGAGAGGCAAGAGAGAAGACUUCAUGAGAGGAAGCAAAAGAACUAUUUGAUCGCUGUUACUGAAAUUUCUGAAGAGAAGCCUUCUCUUCAGGUGCCCACACAAACCAGAAGGUGAAAACGGGUGGUGGUGGGACUCUGGCCCCCAAGGCCUCCUCUGGCCUUCCUUUGGCGGAAAGAGGCCUUCCUACCGAAUAUUAGCUCUACAUUUAAACUUACGGUUUGUGUUUGUUUAUCUAUCACAUCCAGCAAGAUCAGCCGUACUGACAUCAGGGUCUACUUUUAUCAGUGCUAUGUCCAGCUUGUGGUCAACAUCCUUGAUUUUGGUAUCAUACUGGUCCUCACUGGUGAGGGUCAGGUCAUCCUUCGACAUAACGAAUCCCAGACACAGGAACUUCUUGGUUCAAGUAAGGUGUUCUGCACAAUGCAAGUUUCACUGGUUUGAAUUCAUUGUUAUGUAUGGCAACUAAGAGCUGCAAGCAAUGUUUUGAAGAGAAUUCCCUGUGACUAACAUUAUGCCUGUAUUUUCAGGGCUAUAAUUUCCAAAGCAAAAAGAGCUAGGAAUAUUUUAGCUGCCCUAGCUUAGUGAAAACUUGACAACUACACUUUCUAAUUUUCCAUUUCCUACUGAUUUUACUUUCUAGUUCUCAGAAACCAUCACUACAGUAUUUGCACUGGAAACUCGUCAGGAAACUUUUUUGUUUGUCUUGUUUUUUUAAGUAACAGAAACAUUACUACUAGUCCUGAGUUCUGCAAAAGCUUGUUUAAUAAAACAAAACUUUUACACCA
rnacentral:lncRNA from 1 species